AUGAGAGCCGUGACGACACCUUCAAGAAGGGAACGAUCUUCGCCGCCGCCGGUCCGUCCGAAGAUAGAACAUGUUUUCACCUCGGCCAACACUCACCGCCACCGAAUGCCACACCCCGGCAACCAUGCCGCCCGCACGGCCAUGGUGACCGGGCAACGCCAAGGCACGGGCUCCGCCCAAGAGCACCGCGCUACCACCACCAGGGCCGCCGCCCCGGCAUCCAAGACCUUGACACCACCUCACCCGAGACCCGCCGCAACCCCAAUGGAAGAGACGAGCGGAAAGGUCCCACCUUUCGCACCCCUGGGCGACCCCAGCGUCGAGACCCAAUAG
rnacentral:rRNA from 1 species